ensembl:lncRNA
AGCUUCAGGGUAUUCAUGGGGGCAUUUCCUCCUGAAACCAACGAUGACAACAGAAAAAGGAACAAAGCAAAUAAUGUGAGCACAAUGCAUUAGAAUUUCCAAAAUCUUUUCCAACACUCCAUCUCGUUGCAACAGAACAGUGCUGUUGGUAAAACUGGGGACAAAGAGAAGGCAUCUGUAAUUCGUGAGCUCUGGGUGUGUGCAAUCAGAUGGCAGUUAAGAAAGGCGAGGAACAGUGUAAUUUGCUGGAUUUGGCCAGGGCUGGGCUCCCAAGAGCUGGCGAUUUAACAGAUUGCAGCCCUCAUGUUUUCUGACUUGAAAGAUAAUGAAGCAAUAAAAGCGGCCGAGGCAGCCAGCGAGGAUUCUGCCCCCUGGGGAUGGCUGCGUGAGAGCAGCUGCCCGUGCGGGCACCCGCUCAGGGUGUGACCCAAGAUUGCAGCCCUCCAGCAGACCAGCAACACAGAGGACUAAAUUCCCUCCUUCGGGGACACCAGAACCUCGGCUUCCAGGGUUGUCACUGAGCCGGUGCUAUGCCAGGGCGGCCCAUAUGGUCGAGCGGUUGUCGCCAGAGACACAGAGCACCUCAGCCAUUUUCCAGGCCAACGACUGCAUUUGUCAGACGAGAAAAGCCAGAGGUUAAGGGACUUGCCAAAAGUCACACACGGAGCAGCGACACCACUGUUCACAGGCUUGCUGCGAGGAUGGGAGGCAGCAGCGAGGGGACGGAGCCCUCCCAGCAGUAAACCGCAACUGUGACCCCCUAAUUCAAAGCUCCUCCCCUCGGCGGCAGCGAGGACAACGGCUUUCAGUUUGAAGAAUGGUGGCUGUUACACUAAGAUGGAGCCAGAGCAUCUCGGGAUGCUGUCCGACACUCCGAGGGCAGCAGAACUCUCGCUGGGUGGCUGAUGGCAGACCCAUUCUCUUGCCUCGAAUGCAGCAGACUGACCGCUUCCAGUUAAGUAAAAAUAUCAAAACCGUAACGUGCAUGAGAGCACCUUGGGAUAAAUGCAUUACGGAGCUGUCAUCACAGCUCUCACUCCACCAGUUCCUGCCGUUCAUGUGCGAUGCACAUGGGGCUCCUUGGCAAUCGGGACCACCGCUUCCUUCCAACACAGGUGAUCCGCUUCCUGGGCCGACCUCCGGGUCCUGCCACGACCCUCCCACAGUAGCCAUUUACUCGUUCUACCACUGGUUUUUUGCGUUUUGUUUUGUUUUGUUUUGCACGGAAUUAAUCACCUAUUUUCUACCAACUCGCCAGGCAAACGGGAUCUUUCACUUCCCUCAGUGCUUCUGUAACAGGAGGGGGUUUGAAUGAGAUGGGUGUUUUCCAAACUGGGCUGCUGGGGAGAGCUCUGAGCACUUCAAGGGGCUCACUAGGGGCUGCCGUAAGAAGGGAGUGCCCCGAAGGAGAGACUCUGGGUCCCUGAGCCUAUUGUUUCUGUUUUACAUUUUAGAACCCCACCUGAAAUUUUGUUUCAACAAAGGGUUUGGUGGCCAAAAACCCAUUCAGGAAUUAAAUAAUUAAAUACAUAAAUCAAUUACAUAAAGCUGCUGAGCCACGUGGUUUCUCAGGUCCUGUGCUGUGUUUCUCAGGUCCUGUGCUGUCCCACUCCGCAUGAUCAGCAGUGGACGAUCACAAUGGGAAUGGCCGAAUGAACAGGAGAACAUGCAGCCUGCAGUCUCUGGCGAAGAUCGGGCAGAGGUUUCUGGGCUGUGCCAAGCCACGGUUUUGUUUUACCUCGUGAUGAGGAACAGCUGUGUCCCAAAGGGGCGGCACCUCGCCGCCUCCGCAGUGUUUUGAUAAGAGGCGCGGGGUUGGCGAGUGUGGACGAGAUGAGGAAUCGCGUUUCUCGCAACAGUCCUCGCGCUCCAGGUCACGAGCUAAUCUCCUUUGGGAAACCGAGACCAGAGAUGGGCCUCCCUCUCUCCCUGCUAUCUCAGGGUAUUUUCUGUCACCAUGGAGAAUGGUAGAGGCUGGAAAAGGUCAAAAGGACACGGCCUACGAGCUGAGGCGGCAGAGCAGUGAAGCCUGUUGGAAAGUGCCAGCAUCCAAGAGGAGGAUGGUGAGAACCGUAGAGCCGGGUGCCGGGUCAGUCGGAUGGACACGGGUUCCAAGGCCACCUCUGUGCCGCCAGCUGUGGAUGUCCGAGUCUCAGUUUCCAUAUCCGUACCUAAAGGGCUGGUAGGAGUGAACGAGUUGGGCUGUGCAGGGCCCUUUGGUGUUUCAGGCGAUGUGAGUUGAAGAAGGAAUGAGCGCUUGGUCUUCAGAAGGGGCAGAGACGAGCCGCCAGGUCGGGUCAGAGUCACGGUUAACAAGCUCUCGGCUCCUCACUCCGUCGCUGUUUGGUUUUCACUGCGUCGCGAUUUUGCAGCUUUCCCACUCGGACCACCAACUUUCCUGAGCGUUUAGCCUUCUCUGCCGGCUGCCGUCCCCUCCCUCUCAGAGUCCCCCACCCCCAUCCGCAUCUACUUGAUGAUGACAGGAAUCGCCAGGGGCACCAGGCAGCUCAGAAGUAUACUCCAGGACAUGGCUGUCACACUUUUCUUUUUUCCUAAGACCCACAGUAAGAAAUAUAUUAAUAAAUUUUGCAUUGCAAAUCAACCCACACAUACAUAUAAAUGACUGAUUAAAGAAAUUUCAUGAAACACUCCCCGUCCUUCUUAUCUGCACUCUAUUAUUUUCUUUUCCAUUCCACUUCAUUCCAUUCUAUUCUACUUUAUUUUGCCUUUGAAAGUGCUGGUUACCACCCAGUAAUCUAGUUCAUUAACCAGCUGCCAGUUUGAGAAACACUGGUUUCCGGUGGGACUGCCAUGCCGUUCUCUCUGUCCAGUUGUGGACUGUAUCAGUGGCCCUAGAAACCUGUGUUCCAAUUCACAGCCUAAGAAUCAUCAGGGGCCUUGAUAAAUGUACAAAUUUCCAGGCUCCAUCCCCAGAGAUUUGACAGCGUUUCAGAGACUGGUCAGAACCAGAGUGUCUCGUGGGGUCUCCCUGGCACUGAGAUGGAGAUUCUGAUUCCAGGGAGAAAGCUUCUGAUUGGUCUAGAUGGGUCAGAGAAGGAAGAUGCCUUGAUGGGCAGUCCCACCAACACUGUAUCCCUUGGGGUGGGUAGCUCCCCAAAGUAAGUAGAAGAAAGGGUGAUGGAUGCUGCCAGGGACUGUUUGUGUCGCCCCAAAAUUCAUAUGUUGAAAUUCUGACCCCGAAUGUGAUGGUAUCUGGAGGUGGGGCCUUUGGGUUGAUUAGGUCAUGAGGUAGAACCCUCAUGAAUGGGAUUAGUGCCCUUAUUAGGAGACGCCAGAGAGCUCUCUUGUCCCUUCUGCCAUGUGAGGACACAGGGAAAAGAUGACUAUUUAUAAACCAGGAAGCAGGUCUGACUAGACUCUGAAGCUGCCAGUGCCCUGAUGUGGGACUUCCCAGCCUCAAGAACUGUGAGAAAUAAAAGUCUGUCGUUUAAUAAGCCACCCAGUCUAUGGUAUUCUGUUUUAACAGCCCAAACAGACUAAGACGCUGAGCAGGCAACAUCAAUGUCCACACAGAGACUGUUCUAGAACACCUAGGUAACAGUUUGCUAAGCUCUCCUCUGCUGCUUACAUUCUCCCGUGUGCUUUCUGGGGUGCCUAGCACAGUGCGCGCGGCAGGCAUCCAACGCGUGUGGGUUGCAUGAAAACCAACGUACAGUUGCAUUUUGACCACGAGUCUUGGUCAAAAUGAUUGGGUUUUUGACCCUGUGCUUCAUGUACACAAUUGAAGACAAAAUCCCUGAGGUCCAGUGUCUACUGAUUACAACAGAGUCCAGAAGAUUUUUUUUUUAAUUUUAUUUAACAAACUCUUACCAUGUACAAGCCAGUGUUCUGAGAGCCUUACAAAUAUUAACUUAUUAGGUCUACAUAAAACCCUCUAAGAGAGGUCCUAUUACAUGCCAGGCACUAUCUGAGGUAUUGUACCCAUGUGCUUCUAAGAUUCACACCUCUCCUGUAAGGGGCAGCGAUUAUUUUUUUCCAUAGGCGGACACUGAGACUCGGAGAGGUUAUAUAACUUGUCAUAGGCCCCACAGUAAGCAGCAGAGCUGCACUUUGAACCCUAGAAAGGAGGAAUGAGUCAGGCCAGGAGAAUCUUUGAAACUGCAUUUCAUCCUAGAGAUACCAGUUAGCUCUUGCAUGCUAAGAACAGCCACAGGUUGAAAUGCGCCAAGCCCUGAGGGAAAAAGAGCUCCCUUCUUACAAACAGAAACAGAGACAUGGAACCAAAGUGACUCACAGAAGUUCCCGCUGUGGACAGGACGCCGAUCAACACAUGGAACCUCCAGUGGCUGGCUGGGCAUUCCUAUAGCUUCGAUGUGCCCUCAUUCUGUUAAAAUGCAGUGACAAGGAAAUUCAUCACUGCUCACAUGAUUUUUGUUUUCCAAUGAGAGGAAGAAAGCUCUAUUCACUCACGGAGAGUUUUGUUCAAACAUCAAGCUCUAUUUUAAUUUUCUAGUGGCCAGUAUUGCAGUCAGCCACGCUUUAAAACAAUGACCCCGAAUUCCUCUUGCCUUCAUUGCAGUGACAAUGUUGUUACAGCUGACUAAUACUCUUUCUCAGUCUGUGUGGCUAACCAGCAUUUUCUGAGUUAAAUAUGUCUCUCAAGGUUGUCCCAGGUAGGUUCUGGGAUGGAAACUCUUGCUCCUAAUUUGGAAAAACGGUCCCUAGGGUCAUUUUUCAAUAAUAAAUAACAAGUAUAUAUUUAUUAAUAAAAAUAAACAAGUGGCAUGAUUUGUGGUUUAGAACUGUUCUGUUUAGCUUUUGGAUCCAAAUAUGUUUUCUUGAUCUUGGAUUU